GAUAUAUCUAUAUAUGAUCUGUCUUCCAGAUAAAGAACUAGGUAUCAGGAAAAUGAUAAACCUAUCAGAUACUUCUCUCUGUACACACUCUGCUUUCUAUCUCUCCCUCUUCAAUCUUUGCUCAAAACUUGGCUACGCUUUUGUGAUUCGUUAACCUGGAAGAUUUGAGCUGGAAAAGAAUGAGAAUGGAUAAAGCAUAUCAAACCCAGAAGUAUAACAAUAGCGGGAGUGGUGGUGGUGGUGGUGGUGGUAUCAGCGACAUUGUUAGAUCUUAAAAGAAUCCAAAGCAAAAGAAAGCCCCACAGAGAGGACUUAGGGCUUGAAAAGAUCAGGCUAGAAGAACAGCAAAAGAAAGAUGUAGCUGCAAUUUUGUCACCACCAGUGUAAUAACCCAGCCCCAACCCAAACCUAUAUUAUUUUUAAGCCCUGGCCUAAUCUGCCCUAAUCCCUACAUUUUUUUCUCCCUUUUCUCUUCCCUCGCUUCUUCCCUCUGUAGCCCCCCUCCUUGCCCCAGACACAAUCUCUUCUACACAAACCUCCCUCAAUAUUCCACUCUCUCUGUUGCUCCCUCUCCCUCUCCCUUUAGGUGUUUCCAACCAUUGCGGCCAGUAUGUGAUGCCACUGCCUCCCUCUCCUGGUUGCUGACGUUGCGGUAACCCUUUGUAUGUCACUCUUGUGUUCUGUGUGUGUGUGUGUGUGUGUGUGUGUGUGUGUGUGUAAGUCUUUGUUAAUCUUUCUCUCAUGCUUUCAGUUUCAUUUUUUGCAUCACCACCUCGCAGUGGCCACCUCUAGAAGGCUUAUAUCCUGCCUAGUCCUGUCGUACCGAGCCCCUGUCCAUGUCUCUGUUUCGUUCCUUUUCCCCUCAUUGACACCGACUCUCUCUCUCUCUCUCUCUCUCUCUCUCUCUCUCUCUCUCUCACAAUUUUGGGUCGCCAUUGACAGAGGGCACCAGAGUCAAUGUGUGCCUCUUGCCGUCAAGGUAUUUUCUUUCUUCAAAUUCGUCUGAUCAAUUUUGUCUGUAGUGUAUUAUUCCACUAUUUUGAAAUCGGUUUUGACAUUUCCCUUGUGUCAAAGGGCAUCACAAACACCCCAGGCAGUGCCCUUGUUCUCAAGUUUGACAGAUCAUUGCGACGUGAUUUGGCUAAGAUGACUAUGAGAUUUCAACUAGGGAACAGGAAUAAGAAGCGUGGGCGAGAUUAGUUGAGUGUAGAGAAAUAAGUGCCAAAAGGUGAAUGCGUCAUCAGGGUACUUCCGUCAUGUGUACUAAAUUUUCAGAUGGAGCCCCCUUCAAACCAAAGCUGUUAUUGCAACUAUGCACCUACGUGGCCUCCUGAGGAAGAGAGGGAAAUGGAAUAUAUCCGUGAAUCUAUGGCCAGUCCAGAACAUAGCGAAGAACAUAGAUCAGGACGAGGGACAACGGGUAAAGUAGGAAAGCUACAAGAGCUGUCCAUUUAGGGAAAUCUUGUUUGCUGAAGCUGGCGAAGCAACCCACCACAACGCAGACAAUAAUAAUAACCAGCACUUCAGAUGAGAAAUCCCAUGCCAGUCCCCUAAUGUUAACAAGGGCUAAGAACACUGAGAGGCAGAGGACAUUAUUCAUUAUUACUGACCCGUAUAGCUGCAUGCACCAACAAAUAUAUGCAUUAUAAUCACUUCAAAUCAAAUCAAUUAUGAAUAACAUUGACAUCCACAUUUUGGCUGAUUGUUUUCAUUUUGCUAAGACACCAAAAACACUAUUUGGUAUAUAUAUCUUGAAAAGUGAUCUAUAAUUUAUUCGGCAUUCCACCCUAUAGAACAAGCAUUAAACAUUGAUAUGAAGAGUGAGGGAUGAGAAACGAACCACGGUAAAUGUUAAGUUGGCAGUUUCACCUUUGUGACGGCUAGCAGUUAUAACUGCUGACACGACUUCGCUUAAGUUGGUAGCCAAAGGCAGCGCGAUGAAGGAGACGAAGAAAGAAGGAAUACUGGUGGCAUCAGCAAAGUUAUCAACAGCUUCUACCAAGGGGUCAGCAAAUGCGACAGCAAUGAGAGUUCCCAGCAACAACAAUAGCACUGCUUUGAUAGAGGUUCACCAAGAUCAUUGAGCAGCCUUUCCGACUGCCACUUGUGCAUCACAGAAGAAAUUUUGCUCUUGUGGAUCCAAGGUUCAAAAACCUGCAGAACGUUUUCAAUGUUAUCCAUCCAACAACCAAAGCUCUCAAUUCACUAUAUACAAAAGGAGUGAGUUUGGGAUUAUGGUAAUGGAGUGUUCCUCGCCUUCAAAUUCCCUUGGCAACGGUGAACAGGGAAAAAAACAGAAAACCUUGGCCCCAAUGUGCACUGUCCCAAGUCUCUAAAGAGGAGCUAAGGAAUCAAAGCUGCUGAUUUUAAUUAAUACAUGGUUGAAGUCCGGUUUGGGAAUGGCAAGAGUUUUAGAAAAGAAUUUGGAGCUUGCCAUGAACGCUAAACUAUUGAGCUACUUUUUGGGUUUGACAAAAACUUGAAACAUUGUUAAACUAAACUUGUAAACUGCAUGCGCCUAACUUGUCAAAUGCUUCUUGCAGCUUUAAUGACUUAGUUUUAGAUGCCAAGGUUUUGCACUUGCCACACCCGCUUAAGAAUAAGAGAGGAAUUCGAUGUAAAUACCAUAUAUUUGGUUUGACCCUAUUCCACAUAAAAUCUGAUUAAGAUUUUGACCUCA